UACGUGGGGUGCAAGCGUUGUCCGGAAUUAUUGGGCGUAAAGAGCGUGUAGGCGGCUUGAUAAGUCUGCUGUGAAAGUCCAGGGCUCAACCCUGGAAUGCCGGUGGAUACUGUUGAGCUAGAGUCCGGAAGGGGCGAGUGGAAUUCCUGGUGUAGCGGUGAAAUGCGCAGAUAUCAGGAGGAACACCAAUGGCGAAGGCAGCUCGCUGGGACGUGACUGACGCUGGGCCGCGAAAGCGUGGGGAGCAAACAGG
rnacentral:rRNA from 1 species